rnacentral:rRNA from 1 species
GACGAACGCUGGCGGCGUGCUUAACACAUGCAAGUCGAACGGAAAGGCCCUGCUUUUGUGGGGUGCUCGAGUGGCGAACGGGUGCGUAACACGUGAGUAACCUGCCCUUGACUUUGGGAUAACUUCAGGAAACUGGGGCUAAUACCGGAUCGGAGCUCCUGCUGCAUGGUGGGGGUUGGAAAGUUUCGGCGGUUGGGGCUGGACUCGCGGCUUAUCAGCUUGUUGGUGGGGUAGUGGCUUACCAAGGCUUUGACGGGUAGCCGGCCUGAGAGGGUGACCGGCCACAUUGGGACUGAGAUACGGCCCAGACUCCUACGGGAGGCAGCAGUGGGGAAUAUUGCACAAUGGGCGGAAGCCUGAUGCAGCAACGCCGCGUGCGGGAUGACGGCCUUCGGGUUGUAAACCGCUUUCGCCUGUGACGAAGCGUGAGUGACGGUAAUGGGUAAAGAAGCACCGGCUAACUACGUG